rnacentral:rRNA from 1 species
GAUGAACGCUGGCGGCGUGCUUAACACAUGCAAGUCGAACGGUGAAGCGCCAGCUUUCUGGAGUGGAUCAGUGGCGAACGGGUGAGUAACACGUGUGCAACCUGCGCCUGACUCUGGGAUAACACCCGGAAACGGCUGCUAAUACCGGAUAUGCACUAUGUACGCAUGUUCUGUUUUGUGGAAGGUUUGUCGGUUGGGGCUGGGCUCGCGGCCUAUCAGCUUUUUGGUGAGGUAAUGACUCACCAAGGCGUCGACGGGUAGCCGGCCUGAGAGGGUGACCGGCCACACUGGGACUGAGACACGGCCCAGACUGCUACGGGAGGCAGCAGUGGAGAAUAGUGCACAAUGGGCGAAAGCCGGAUGCAGCAACGCCGCGUGAGGGAUGACGGCCUUCGGGUUGGAAACCUCUUUUAGCAGGGAAGAAGCGAGAGUGACGGUACCUGCAGAAAAAGCGCCGGCUAACUACGUG